GUCUACAACCAUACCACCCUGAACAGACCCGAUGUCAUCUGAUCUUGGAAGCUAAGCAAGGUCGGGCCUGGUUAGUACUUGGAUGUGAGACUGCUUGGGAAUAUCGGGUGCUGUGGUCC
ensembl:rRNA 5S_rRNA 5S ribosomal RNA